rnacentral:tRNA from 1 species
GCCGAAGUGGCGGAAUGGCAGACGCACUUGACUCAAAAUCAAGCGGGUUUCGACCUGUGUGGGUUCGAGUCCCACCUUCGGCACCA